UGCUUUCAUAAGUUUCAGCGCACAUUCUUCCUGCAGACAAAGCUCGGCCUUCUCCAUUUCUUUUGCCAUAAGCUCUUUGGCUGCCUGCAGGUCACUGUCAUAUUGUUCCUGAGACUUACGUGUAGCCUGUGCAACUGCAAGGCUGUCCUCUAACUGUUUCAAGUUGUUUUGCUGCUCUUUUACCAACUUCUCUAAUUCUACAAUUUUGGCAGCCUGGUGAUCUUGGAGCUGAUUCAUUUGAGCUUCACGAACUUCAAACUCCUUCUGUAAAUUCUGCUUCUCAUAUUCCAACCUAUUUUGCAGUUCUGUGUGCAACAAUGAUAAUUUCUCCUCCGCUUGGACUCUCUGGUCCUCACUUUCACAUUUCCAUUUCUUCUCUUUCUCUUUGUACAAAGUCUCUAUUUUCAGAACUUCUUCCCUGGCUUCCUUUAAUUCAUUCUCGUGAUCCUCAGCGAUUUUAAAUUUUACCUGUUCCAUUUGCUCUUUCAGAUGCUUUUCAUUCUGCACAAAAAAGUCUUUUUGUUUAGUCAUCUCUUCUUUUAAACACUUUAUUUCUUCUGAAAGCUCUGCAAUAUGCUGUUCCUCAGAGUGGAGGAGAGAGAGCUUAACUUUGUGUUCUUCCUCCAGCACAGACACUCGCUUGGCCACCUCCAUUUCAACUUGACGUGCUGCAUCUUGAGCACUCUGUAGGCGCAGUUUAGUGAUUUCUUUGAUAUGUUCUUCUGAAAGUCUGGCACGGAGCUGCUCAAGUUCUAAACAAUGCUUUCUUUUCAUCUCCUCUAUUUCUGCUAUAUACUUGUCUGAGAGCUCCAUCUUCAUUUUCAGUAGGUCCCCUUUAUAUUGAAGUGCAAGGGAAGACUUUAAGGAAUCUAGUUCAUGUCUGUGAUCUUCUUUAAGUUGUCCUUGCAAACAGGCAAUUUCUUCCUUAUGUUGCUCCAGCUGUUGAUUCAGUUGAUCUAGGAAAAAGUCUUUUCUCUCUUUCUCAACAGCCUCUCCAAAAACUAUGACAGAAGAACUGAUAUUCCCUGCUUGAUUAUGGCUCACAUCAACCCCAGAUACGGAAUAUUCUUUCAGUUCUUGCAGUUUCUGAUGCAGCAAAGUCAAUUCUUCUCUGUAGUUUUCCUCAGUGACUCUUAACUUUCUUUCAAAGUAGAUUCUAAGCUGUUCUAAUUCAGCUUCAUGCUCACUUUUUGUUUGCUGCUGCUGCUCUUCAAAUUUUUGCUUUAAAUGCUCUAUUUCUU
rnacentral:lncRNA from 1 species